GACGAACGCUGGCGGCGUGCUUAACACAUGCAAGUCGAACGGAAAGGCCCUGCUUUUGUGGGGUGCUCGAGUGGCGAACGGGUGUGUAACACGUGAGUAACCUGCCCUUGACUUUGGGAUAACUUCAGGAAACUGGGGCUAAUACCGGAUAGGAGCUCCUGCUGCAUGGUGGGGGUUGGAAAGUUUCGGCGGCUGGGGAUGGACUCGCGGCUUAUCAGCUUGUUGGUGGGGUAGUGGCUUACCAAGGCUUUGACGGGUAGCCGGCCUGAGAGGGUGACCGGCCACAUUGGGACUGUGAUACGGCCCAGACUCCUACGGGAGGCAGCAGUGGGGAAUAUUGCACAAUGGGCGGAAGCCUGAUGCAGCAACGCCGCGUGCGGGAUGACGGCCUUCGGGGUGUAAACCGCUUUCGCCUGUGACGAAGCGUGAGUGACGGUAAUGGGUAAAGAAGCACCGGCUAACUACGUG
rnacentral:rRNA from 1 species